UUCCUCUCCAAUUCCUCCUCAUUUCCUCUCCAACUCCUCUCCCAUUCCUCUCUCCUUCGAAAUGAGACAUGUUCGGUGAGCCUGGUAGUCAGUUAGACCCUCCAGGUUCUUCUUCAGGUGCCGGCGGUUCCGUGUGAGUGGACUCGAGGCCUUCAUCGACGUUAUAGCGGCCACAAAUCCGGAAUGAGAAACUUUGUUGAGGAACAUGAAACAACAAAAUCCCAUUCCAGGCGAGUCAUCGGGCACACAUGACGAGGAGGAUGUUACGAGGAGGAGCAAGGAAUUCUACGAGGCGAAGAAUGGGCCUUAGUUUUUUUUUUGGUUCAUGUAUUAUAAAAUCCAAAACUUAUUUAUAUAUAAAAUAUUUUGUUGCA